UACGAAGGGGGCGAGCGUUGUUCGGAAUCACUGGGCGUAAAGGGCGCGUAGGCGGCCCUCCUUGUCGCGUGUGAAAGCCCCGGGCUCAACCUGGGAACUGCAUUGGUGACUGGCAGGCUAGAGUAUGGCAGAGGGGGGUAGAAUUCCACGUGUAGCAGUGAAAUGCGUAGAGAUGUGGAGGAAUACCGAUGGCGAAGGCAGCCCCCUGGGCCAAUACUGACGCUCAUGCACGAAAGCGUGGGGAGCAAACAGG
rnacentral:rRNA from 1 species